rnacentral:rRNA from 1 species
UUCCGGUUGAUCCUGCCGGAGGUCACUGCUAUCGGGGUUCGAUUAAGCCAUGCGAGUCGAGAGGGUUCGGCCCUCGGCGUACUGCUCAGUAACACGUGGAUAACCUGCCCUAGGGGAGGGGAUAACCCCGGGAAACUGGGGAUAAUACCCUAUAGGUUACAGAUGCUGGAAUGCCCUGUAACCAAAAGCUCCGGCGCCCUAGGAUGGAUCUGCGGCCGAUUAGGUUGUUGUUGGGGUAACGGCCCAACAAGCCCGUAAUCGGUACGGGUUGUGGGAGCAAGAGCCCGGAGUUGGAUUCUGAGACACGAAUCCAGGCCCUACGGGGCGCAGCAGGCGCGAAACCUUUACAAUGCGGGCAACCGUGAUAAGGGAACCUCGAGUGCCUGUAAACGCAGGCUGUUCAGGUGUUUAAAACGCACCUGGAGAAAGGGCCGGGCAAGACCGGUGCCAGCCGCCGCGGUAAUACCGGCGGCUCGAGUGGUGGCCGCUUUUAUUGGGCUUAAAGCGUUCGUAGCUGGGUUGUUAAGUCUCUUGGGAAAUCUGGCGGCUUAACCGUCAGGCGUCUAAGGGAUACUGGCAAUCUUGGAACCGGGAGAGGUGAGGGGUACUUCGGGGGUAGGGGUGAAAUCCUGUAAUCCUCGAGGGACCACCUGUGGCGAAGGCGCCUCACCAGAACGGCUUCGACAGUGAGGGACGAAAGCUGGGGGAGCAAACCGGAUUAGAUACCCGGGUAGUCCCAGCCGUACACGAUGCGCGUUANGUGUAUCGGUGACCCCGANUUACCGAGGUGGCCG